rnacentral:lncRNA from 1 species
GAGUUUUUUGAGCUUAGAGCAGAGUUUCUCAAGAGCUGCAAUACUGGCAUUUGAGUCAAGUCGUUCUUUAUUGUUGGUGGUGGAGGGGGCACCCUGUAUAUUGUAGGACGUUGGGCAGCAUCUCUGACUUCUACCUACUAGAUGCCAGUAUCUCAGUUUUCUUAAAAGACUUUUUUUUUUUUUUUUUUUUUUUUGAGAUGGAGUCUUGCUGUGUUGCCUAGGCUGGAGUGCAGUGGCACCAUGUCGACUCACUGCAACCUCCGCCUCCCCGGUUCAAGCGAUUCUCCUGCCUCAGCCUCCUGAGUAGCUGGGAUUACAGGUGAGCACCACCAUGCCCAGCUAAUCGUAAAAGACUUUUCAUAAAACUUCAGAACUCCUUAAAAACUAGUGAAUAGCCAAGGUGAAGAAAGCCCUCAGGCUUCUGACUUUAGACCCCAAUCCCUGGGACUCCCACACUCAGCAAAGAAAGCUGGGUGCCUGCACCCUGGAUCUCUGAGCAAACCUGUCUUAUGGCUGUGGGCAACUCAGGAACAUGAAUUAGCACGAGAAUCUGGAGUUUUUCUUUCCUUUUCUGAGAGUUUCAUACGCAGACCUUAAGUAGACAUAGUAUCCAGCUAAAAGGGUCUCACUCUGUCACCCAGGCUGGAGUGCAGUGGCGCAGUCAUGGCUCCCUGUAACCUCAACCUCUCAGACUCCAGCAAUCCUCCUGCGACAGGGAGGCAGUCAAUGGUGAAUGCUGGCCUCGCUGAUUACUCACCUGGAGACCUUUCUGAGGAUCAGUUUUCUCAUCUAGAAAAUGGGACAACUGCCAGACCACUGAAGAAAAUACAGAAAACAGCCCCACACAUCAGCAUGUUUGGUUGCUGCCAGUCUACUUGGAUCUGAGUAUUUUUUCUUGCCAUGAAUGUGACGUGAUUAUCUUCUCCUACAUCACACUGAAGUUUUAUGAAUGAUGCUUUGAAGUGGGAAGGGCCAGAGAGUUAAUAUUUUCGGCUUCUUGGGCCAGCUGGUCUCGGUGGCAGCUACUGAGCUCUGCCACUGCAGCAGAGAACGGGCACAGGCGAUAUGGAAAUGAUAGGCGCGGCUGUGUUCCAAUAAAACUUUAUUUACAAAAAUGGGCAGUAGACCAGAUUUGGUCUGUGUCUUAGAGUUUGCUGACCCUGCUUUAAAGAAACAUCAAAGAGAUUCUACCAGCUGAUUUCCUUGCUCCCAAAAUUCUUGUAAGGACUAUGGCUGAGUUAGGAAGUUAUGUACUUUAAUAGCUAAUUUCAGGCCUGGCGUGGUGGCUCACGCCUGUAAUCCCAGCACUUCGGGAGGCUGAGGUGGGUGGAUCACUUGAGGUCAGGAGUUUCAGACCAGCCUGGCCAACAUGGCGAAACCCUGUCUCUACUAAAAAUACAAAAAAAUUAGCUGGGCGUG